rnacentral:misc_RNA from 1 species
AUCAAAUCAUCAUCCAACAUUGUGGUUUGACCUUCAAUGUGAAUUUGCUUCAGGAACUAGGAUUUCCUGCACAUAAAAUCAUGUCAUCUUUUGUAAUAAGCAACUUGCCUCUUUUUGUGGUGUAUUUAUUUACUCUCCUUCAAACCUCCAUAACUAGAGAUAGUGAAUGGGCAGCCAUAGCUGAAAGCAACUUUGGAAAGAG